rnacentral:rRNA from 1 species
GACGAACCGUGCAAACGUUGUUCGGAAUCACUGGGCUUAAAGGGCGCGUAGGCGGGCAGGCAAGUCGAAGGUGAAAUCCCACGGCUCAACCGUGGAAGUGCCCCCGAUACUGCCUGUCUCGAGGGAGAUAGGGGCGUGCGGAACUUCCGGUGGAGCGGUGAAAUGCGUAGAUAUCAGGAGGAACACCGGUGGCGAAGGCGGGUCUCUGGGCAGUAACUGACGCUGAGGAGCGAAAGCGUGGGGAGCGAACAGG